CACAACAUGGAUGAGAGGAGUUCAGGGCUGCAGGAGAAGAAAUUCUUCGGCUGCCUGGUAGCAAAACUUGGUGUGAAGGACUCGAGGACUUGCAGGGGCCUUGAAACUCAUGAAGCAAAGAGGACAUUUAUGAAGUGAAGACCAAAGCAGAGCUUCCAGACCAGACCAAUGGAUUUCUUCACCCUCUGUACAUAGCUUGAAGCUCAAGACAAUGAGGUGGAUUCUGAAGGAGAAAUGUUUUGGACAUGACACACACUUUGCUAUUCUGCCAAGAAGGUGAACAGCAUUUACCAGAGUGCCCUGGUUUGGGUCAAAACUCAAACCCCAGCCCUUCAAGAAGUGACGAGCACCAAGGACUUGUCUUACGUGUGUAGUUACACCAAACCUCAUCACUCUCCAU